rnacentral:rRNA from 1 species
AUUGAACGCUGGCGGCAGGCUUAACACAUGCAAGUCGAGCGGAGAUGAGGUGCUUGCACCUUAUCUUAGCGGCGGACGGGUGAGUAAUGCUUAGGAAUCUGCCUAUUAGUGGGGGACAACAUUCCGAAAGGAAUGCUAAUACCGCAUACGUCCUACGGGAGAAAGCAGGGGAUCUUCGGACCUUGCGCUAAUAGAUGAGCCUAAGUCGGAUUAGCUAGUUGGUGGGGUAAAGGCCUACCAAGGCGACGAUCUGUAGCGGGGCUGAGAGGAUGAUACGCCACACUGGGACUGAGACAGGGCCGAGACUCCUACGGGAGGCAGCAGUGGGGAAUAUUGGACAAUGGGGGGAACCCUGAUCCAGCCAUGCCGCGUGUGUGAAGAAGGCCUUAUGGUUGUAAAGCACUUUAAGCGAGGAGGAGGCUACUGAGACUAAUACUCUUGGAUAGUGGACGUUACUCGCAGAAUAAGCACCGGCUAACUCUGUGCCAGCCGCCGCAGUAAGAC